GACGAACGCUGGCGGCGUGCUUAACACAUGCAAGUCGAACGGAAAGGCCCUGCUUUUGUGGGGUGCUCGAGUGGCGAACGGGUGAGUAACACGUGAGUAACCUGCCCUUGACUUUGGGAUAACUUCAGGAAACUGGGGCUAAUACCGGAUAGGAGCUCCUGCUGCAUGGUGGGGGUUGGAAAGUUUCGGCGGUUGGGGAUGGACUCGCGGCUUAUCAGCUUGUUGGUGGGGUAGUGGCUUACCAAGGCUUUGACGGGUAGCCGGCCUGAGAGGGUGACCGGCCACAUUGGGACUGAGAUACGGCCCAGACUCCUACGGGAGGCAGCAGUGGGGAAUAUUGCACAAUGGGCGGAAGCCUGAUGCAGAAACGCCGCGUGCGGGAUGACGGCCUUCGGGUUGGAAACCGCUUUCGCCUGUGACGAAGCGUGAGUGACGGUAAUGGGUAAAGAAGCACCGGCUAACUACGU
rnacentral:rRNA from 1 species